CAAAAGUGAAAGGAAUUAAGCGGGCAGAUCCGACAGCCCAGAGAAACGUUUCGGGCCCUUCAGCGUGGAGUUACCGCACUCUUAGAGAAGAGGACGUUCCUACAACGGAAAGCAGGCAACCCAUCUGGCCAUUCCCAACCAAGAGACACAGAGCUCCACGCUGGAAUAGUCAUGAGCAAAAGAUAGAGAAAAUGCUGGACCCAAGAGCUGGAGACAAACGGCCCUGCCCAAGGAAAGUGCGUUACACAGACAGCUUGCUGGCCAAGAAAGGGACCGCGUGGACCUGGGCUGCACAAAGAGCGGACCGCACGGAGUCACGGCAGCGUCUGCUGGCG